CAACCUGAUUCCAUCCCGAACUCAGAAGUGAAACGAAACAGCGUCGAUGGUAGUGUGGGGUCUCCCCAUGUGAGAGUAGAACAUCGCC
rnacentral:rRNA from 1 species